AUUGAACGCUGGCGGAAUGCUUUACACAUGCAAGUCGAACGGCAGCACGGGGGCAACCCUGGUGGCGAGUGGCGAACGGGUGAGUAAUACAUCGGAACGUGCCCAGUCGUGGGGGAUAACGUAGCGAAAGUUACGCUAAUACCGCAUACGAUCUACGGAUGAAAGCGGGGGACCGUAAGGCCUCGUCCGAUUGGAGCGGCCGAUGUCAGAUUGGGUAGUUGGGGAGGUAAAGGCUCACCAAGCCGACGAUCUGUAGGUGGUCUGAGAGGACGACCAGCCACACUGGGACUGAGACACGGCCCAGACUCCUACGGGAGGCAGCAGUGGGGAAUUUUGGACAAUGGGCGCAAGCCUGAUCCAGCCAUUCCGCGUGCAGGACGAAGGCCUUCGGGUUGUAAACUGCUUUUGUACGGAACGAAAAGGCUCUGGUUAAUACCUGGGGCUCAUGACGGUACCGUAAGAAUAAGCACCGGCUAACUACGUGCCAGCAGCCGCAGUAA
rnacentral:rRNA from 1 species